GCCGCGGUAAUACGGAGGGUGCGAGCGUUAAUCGGAAUUACUGGGCGUAAAGCGCGCGCAGGCGGCUGGGUCAGUCGGAUGUGAAAGCCCCGGGCUUAACCUGGGAAUUGCAUUCGAUACUGCCCAACUAGAGUAUGGGAGAGGGAAGUGGAAUUUCCGGUGUAGCGGUGAAAUGCGUAGAUAUCGGAAGGAACACCAGUGGCGAAGGCGGCUUCCUGGCCCAAUACUGACGCUCAGGUGCGAAAGCGUGGGGAGCGAACAGGAUUAGAUACCCUGGUAGUCCACGCCGUAAACGAUGAGAACUAGAUGUUGGGAGGGUUACCUCUCAGUGUCGCAGCUAACGCGUUAAGUUCUCCGCCUGGGGAGUACGACCGCAAGGUUGAAACUCAAAGGAAUUGGCGGGGGAGCACGGUCAUAGUUGUUUCCUGAG
rnacentral:rRNA from 1 species